rnacentral:tRNA from 1 species
AGAAACCUGAACAGGAUUCGGUUUCGACCCGAAACGUAAACAAUUAGGUAAUUUAUUUGUU